rnacentral:misc_RNA from 1 species
GGAAGUAAAAGUCGUAACAAAGUUUCCGUAGGUGAACCUGCGGAAGGAUCAUUCAUGAUAAAGUGUUUUAUGGCACUUUUUAAAAAUCCAUAUCCACCUUGUGUGCAAUGUUAGAUCUCGUCAAUCUUGGCGAGAUUUUUAUACAUCAACUCAUUUUUUAACUAAUUUGUCUGAAAAAUAUUAAGAAUACUUAAUUCAAAAUACAACUUUCAACAACGGAUCUCUUGGCUCUC